rnacentral:rRNA from 1 species
UACGUAGGGUCCGAGCGUUGUCCGGAUUUAUUGGGCGUAAAGAGCUCGUAGGCGGUUCCGUAAGUCAGAUGUGAAAACUCAGGCUCACCCGACGACGCCCAUCUGAUACUGCGGUGACUGGAGUCUGGUAGGGGAACACGGAAUUCCUGGUGUAGCGGUGAAAUGCGUAGAUAUCGAGAGGAACACCUGCGGCGAAGGCGGGUAGCUGGGCCGACACUGACGCUGAUGCGCGAAAGCCAGGGAGCGAACGGG